GGUGCUGCGCUGAGGCGAUCAGUGGUUGAAAAGGGAGGCGCCUUCGGUGCUUGGCUGGACCGAAGAGGAAAAAGAAUGCAAGCAUCGGGGGUGGGCGGUUGCUCCGAUUGUAGCAGGUCGGUAGAUAGGGGCUGCUUCGGCAGCUNNNNNNNNNNNNNNNNNNUCCCCUCUCUCUCUCUCUCUCUCUCUCUCUCUCUCUCUCUCUCUCUCUCUCUUUCUCUCUCUUGUUUGUUUGUUUGUUUGUUUUGGCAUUCAAUCAAAUGGAUGGUGAUACAGGGCAGAAUAAUCGAUCAAAAGGAGUGUUUGGGUUUCUUUGUUUGUCAUGUAAGGGAACACGAGAAAAUGGGACUGUGAUCGUGGCUAGAAUAGAGAGGGGAAACAACCUCCUUCUUUGGUCUUUACCUGAUAUCGAGAGAAAGAAUGCAAGUGAGAGUGAGAUGGGGAUGAUUGAAGGCAGUGAAAGCUACGAACACGUGAAGGG
rnacentral:lncRNA from 1 species